UUUUGAGUUAUUGCCAACGUGAUAUUUCAUUCGAAUAUAAUGUGUAAUGAUACAUGUUAUGUGUUCACAAUAAUAUACAAAUGUAUGUAUGGUUAACUGUUUACUAUUAUAUUUACCGUAAAUGUGCCUUGUGAUAAAAUAUAUUUUAUACCACGUAUCCGUGGCUCAAUAGAUCUUAUCUAGUUGCCUAAACUAUCACUAGAGUGACACUAAGUGUCAAUAAUCGUCCCAGGAUAUUGAAGAACAGGACACAGACGACAACACCCGUUCGAUUAAAUUGAGUUUGGAAAUUUUCACUAUAAUAAUUAAAGCAGUAUUUACGCACCUCAACGUGUAAAAAUAGAUUCGGGAUGUAGUGUUUCAUGCAGUCCACGAGAAAAACAAAAGAAUCCAACUAUAAAUUGAAUAAUUUCAUGAAAACUACAAUAACAUUCAAGCACAUUUGGACCAGAUUGCUCGAAAAAAUAUAAAUAUUCAGAAAAAAAUUAUUAAUGCAAAGAAAUCACAAAAACAUGCAUUUAUUAUGUCCUAACCAAUUAAAUAUGCAAAAAUAUGCAAAAUAAAAUAUCGUUAUUACAUUAUAAAUAAUUAUUGACCGAAUCCAUU